UAGCUUCAAGAAAUCAAGAAUCAAAGCCAAAUACAUAAGAUAAUCCGGUGCAUGAACCCUCCUUGCGAAAAUCUAACCCUAAUUUGCGUGAAGGAGGAAGGUUCCAAUACUAGGAAAUUGGAAGGUUCACAAGAUCGAGGUAAAACACCUCUAUAGGCGAUUUGGAGAUAUGGAGCGAGCACGUAUUCAAGCCUUAUUAUACCAAGCGCUUCCGCUAGUUUAUAUGCAUACUUUUGGGUUCACGUUUUGUUACUUUGAUUAAAUCUUG
rnacentral:lncRNA from 1 species